GUUGAAAAGUGCGGGGAUGAGGUGUGGGUAGCGGAGAAAUUCCAAACGAACUUGGAGAUAGCUGGUUCUCUCCGAAAUAGCUUUAGGGCUAGCCUCGGAAUUGAGAAUGAUGGAGGUAGAGCACUGUUUGGACUAGGGGCCCAUCUCGGGUUACCGAAUUCAGAUAAACUCCGAAUGCCAUUCAUUCAUAUCCGGGAGUCAGACUGUGAGUGAUAAGAU
rnacentral:rRNA from 1 species